rnacentral:sRNA from 1 species
UGUUACUCCUUUGUUGACAUUGUUCAUUUUUGUCCAUGACAUUGUAAGCUCACACUGAUAAAAGGUGACACAUUUCAUGGCAUUGUAAGCUCAUACUGAUUAAAGGAUUUGCUACAUGUUAUUAUGUUUAUGUUUCUUUUAUAGUGUUUGGAGGUAAAUCAUUACCCGUCACUUUGUAUUGAGUAUGGUUUGUGGCAAACGUUGCCUAAAGAGGAUGCAGAUCCUUUUUUGCUAGCGGAUCCUCUCUUGCAACCUCGAAUGGCCAAUUUGGUAAGGAAAUGGGAAGAACUCUAUAAGGUGUAAAAUCUAAUUCUUCUACCUUUAAAUAUCUUUGUAGUUGUUAAUUUGUCUUACUAAAUAGUGAAAUUAUUCCACAACAUUUUUCCUCGAAGGUGAUUGACUUUGCUGAUGAUGUCGAAGAAUUUGCUGAUCGGCCAUAUUGCAUGUUUCAUGAGCAUUCCCGGCAAGGACUGAAGUGUGAGUGCUUGGACCGGGUGGUGUUUUGGAUACUUCUGAAGCAAAGAUCUUAGUAGAGAGAUUGGCAGUCGAGGUUGCUCCUGAAGUUUUGCCUUCCGACAUUGCUUCUGCUUUGGCCUUUUGAAGGUUGUUCUCAUUGUUAAAUGUCUUAGAAAAUGUCUUUGUUGAGACGAUUGUUUUUUUUAAUGUUUUUGGGAUGAUGUCUUAGUUUUUAUAGAAAAU